rnacentral:lncRNA from 1 species
UCUCUGGGUGUCUCUGUGGUUCUUAGUGCUUCUAUCUUUGUGCCCCGUUUGCUCCCCUACUCCUCCAUUCCUGGGUCUGUUUGUUUCUGUACAUCUCUGGACCUCUCUCUGCUACUGGAUUUCUCUGCCUCCUGCACUACCCUCUCUCUUCUUUUUCUCUUUCUCUUUGUCUCUGAGUGUCUCUUUACCUCGGGCUUUAGGGCCUCUUCUCGCUUUUGAGUCUCUCUCUGCUGAAUCUCCACUCUCUCUUUUCGCCUUCCUCUCUUUCCGCUGCAUCUAAUUUGUUUUUCGGUGUCUCUGUGUCUCUGUCUUUGAGCAUCGUCUCUGUUUCUGUCUCUCUAUGUCUCUGGGCCCGAGCGUCUCCUUCUCUGUGUCUUUGAGUAAGUUUCUUUCUGUUCACAACCUCUCUUCCUUUCCCUAUGUCUCUGUAUCUCUCCAUAUCCCUGAUAUCUCUGUGUGUCUCUGUGUAUCUCUGUGUGUCAGGACUUCCCCUUGUGUUAGUGUUCCCUUCUGCUUCUCUCUCCUCUACCAUGUCCGUGUCUCUGUCUCAGCGUAUCUCUGCAUAUCUCUGAGUCUCUCUGUCUCUGAGUCUCUGUGUCUCUGUGGGUCUCCGGCCUCUCCCUGCCUCCGUGUCCCCUGCGCUCCCCGCCCUCUCCCUCUCCCUCUCUCCCCCCCUCGCUCUCCGGCUCGCGCUCUCUCUCUGAGCAUCCUUGGGCCCGGGGUUGCCAUGGGGACAAGGUGGGAGCCGGGGAUGGCGCGCGCCUGGGCUCGCGCCGGCAGCUCAGGCGAGGAGCAGCGGCCAGAGCAGCGCCAGCAGCAGGCAGCGAGCGGGCGCGGGAGCGGGAGCGGGAGCGGGGGUAGCGUUGGCGGCGGCGGCUCCUCCUCGGCCAUCCCCUCGGAGCCGUGCAGCUGACGCGCAUGGCGAAGACAGCGGCGCCUACCGAUGGGAGCAGCGGUUCUCGGCUGGACCGGGUUGGUGGCCUGAAUGUAUUAGCUUUGCUCUGUCUGCCCA